UUUUGAGAACUUUUUUCACAAGUCCGCCAUUUUGUUUUUGUUUUUUUAUUUUUAUGUAUAUUUAAGGUUCGGGACCUAAAAUGAAGUCUACAGAAUAAUAAUCUCUUUGAAUUUUUUAUUUCAGAUGACUUUGGAAGGCUGUGUGUUUCCCCGAACCAACUCAUCUUUUCUUUGAGGACUCCAUAUUGACGAAAUCGGAAGAUCGUCGUGUA